rnacentral:lncRNA from 1 species
UGACUCGCACCCUGCGACUCCGCAAGUAGAAUGAGAUUGCAUCACAGCUUGAACAUGCAUCGAGGGGUUAUACUAGUUCUAUUUUGUGUUUCAGUAGCAGUUUCUACUAAAGAACUCGCUCUGGUUUUGUCAGUCUAUGCAAUUGCUCUGGAUAGAUUUUGCUCUGGAAUACCUGAGAAUAUCUGAAGUUAUACGAACUGGUGAUGAAAACUCUUAAGUUUGAAAGCCAUAAGUAGGUGGUAGAACCUUCUGCCCAAACUUGAACCAUUGUGGAUAAUAAUUUUUUUGAAAAUAUUAAUAUGUGGAUUAAGUUUAGGGAUAUUUUUCCAUAUUCAUGUAUUUUGUAGGCUUAAACGUAACUUAACGCACCCCCAUUGAGGUCUCCCUCCCUCCCAUUGAGGUCUUGGCUCCACUUUGGGUCAUUUAAAAAGUAAAUAAAUAAAUAUAUUGAUAUAUUUCUAACCAAUUAACUAAAGAAUAUGAAAAAAAAUUAUUUUAAAAGAGAAGAUUGAUAAUUGAUAAGAAUUUGAUAAAUAUUGUUUAUUUUCAAUAUAGGCUUUAUUAGCAAAUACAAUGGCACAUAUCUAAUAGGUGUAUAUCACAAUUGAGAAUAUAUUAGUGCCAAUAUAAAACUUAUAUCUGAAUAUAGUUUCUACUAAUAUAAUGUUAUUGAAGUGCUUUCUACAUUAGAAAAUUAUCAACUAUCAUUAAAUAGAGUGGACAAUAUUUAUUAAAGAGAUAAUAUUUAUUAUAGUAAGAUUUAGUGUUUUGAAAUCUAAGAUAUCAAAAUUAUGAGAAUAUAUAAAUAAAUAUCCAAUUUCGAAGGGCCACAUUGCAAUUAUUUUUGGAAGUGUAUGAUGGUG